AUUUAAGAACAUAAUCGAAGUGAGCUUCAAGCUUUCCAUAUACUGUAUAUGCUAUUACAUGAAUUACAAGAAGAACUUAUUCAAAUCGUAAUCCUAAUCAGUGUUAAAUUAACUGAAAACUUAUUUAUAUAUUUGUAAAAAUUUACCUUGCCUUUCUUUUAUUUCCUUUUUUCUUUUUGCCUGACUUCACCCUGUGUGCCAUAAGACCCCUUCUAUGAAAUUGGCACUCUUUAAAGUUAUCUUCGUCAGGCCAUCUCUGAAGAACCUCUGCUUCUUAUGGCUUUUCCUCUUCCUUACCAAAACUAAUAGACUCACUUUGUCUCUUGCUUCGUUCUCAAGAAGUAGAUACACCAAUAAGAAGACAUAAGUUUUGUCUCUUUUUCAAAGAUUUCUCUGUUGUUCGCUUAAAUUUACGAUACAACCCUUCACAAACCAUAU